UACGUAGGGGGCAAGCGUUGUCCGGAAUUACUGGGCGUAAAGAGUGCGCAGGCGGUCGUCCAAGUCGCGUGUGAAAGCCCCGGGCUCAACCUGGGAACGGCGCGCGAAACGGGGGGGCUGGAGUUCGGGAGAGGAGAGUGGAAUUCCCAGUGUAGAGGUGAAAUUCGUAGAUAUUGGGAAGAACACCGGUGGCGAAGGCGGCUCUCUGGACCGAGACUGACGCUGAGGCGCGAAAGCGUGGGGAGCAAACAGG
rnacentral:rRNA from 1 species